GCAGCAAGCAUGGCAAAAGCUUCAAGAUCCGUAUAAUAUCUCUUCAGCCUUCCUGUCUGAAGACAGAGGUCCAUAUUUCUGUGGAUUAAUGUAUUGCUACACCAGCUGUAUCCAGGAAUGGCUGCCUGAGGGAACAGGGUCCUACCAUGUUUCUCAAAUUUGCUUGUUUGUGAGUCUUAUGGCAUUCUGGGUAACUAGACUGUCUACUUGGCAACUCCAUUUUCCUUUAAGAAGGUGUGCCCAGGUGUAUCUCAGGGACCAACCAUCCUCCCUGGGUUGGUAUGCAAGGAACAGGGGUUGUCGGAUGGGGCACCCACACUUUCAAAAUGAUGGUUCUGUUGUGACACACCCCCUAUCUGUUCCUCCCCUGCUAGGUUUUCCAUGGCUUCCCGUGGCUUCUUGCUCUCAGUACCCACCAUCAGCAGGGUGAACAUGGUCUGCCCCACAUUGAACCCGUGCCGCCAGUUGUGAUGAGAAGAUAGCAUUCCAAGAGGUUAAAUGACUUGUUCAAAUUCAUGGAAUGAAACCACAACUGAUCUCCAGAGGUGAGUUCCAAGGGGAGGAGGUGACAAGGUGCAUGGAACGUGACAACCUUCUCCUUGGUCAUGUCCAGCAGUCCAAUGGAAUAUCGUUCACAGUUCAGCCCUGCUAAGACCUCUGCCCUGCUGUCAAAGGCCACCUACCUUUUUCACAUCUGGGACAUUCAGGACUUUCUUCGUGUGAG